rnacentral:rRNA from 1 species
AGUGAACGCUGGCGGCAUGCCUAACACAUGCAAGUCGAACGGAAACACAGUAAGAGCUCGCUCCUACGGUUGGCGACGGGCGGGUGAGUGAGGAAUGCAUCGCCAUCCACUUUGUCGUGGGGGACAACGUAGGGAAGCAUCCGCUAAUAGCGCAUAUGUUUAACGGGAUAGUUCAAGAGUUCUUCGGGCGUUUGCUGAUACUUAGAGCUGACGUCGGAUUGGCUAGUUGAUGGGGUAAAGGCACACCAAGGCGACGCGCCGAUGCGAGUCUGAGAGGAUGAUCAGCCACACUGGAACUGAGACACGUCCCAGACCCCUACGGAGGGCAGCAGUGGGGAAUAUUGGACAAUGGGGGCAAGCCUGAGGCGGCCAUACCGCGUGGGUGAGGAAGGCCUUCGAGUUGUAAAGCCCUUUUGUUGGGAAAGAAAAGUAGCAGGUUAAUAACGCGCUUUUCUGACGGUACCAAAAGGAUAGGCACGGGCUAACUUCGU